CCUACGGGAGGCAGCAGUGGGGAAUUUUGGACAAUGGGGGAAACCCUGAUCCAGCCAUCCCGCGUGUGCGAUGAAGGCCUUCGGGUUGUAAAGCACUUUUGGCAGGAAAGAAACGUCAUGGGUUAAUACCCCGUGAAACUGACGGUACCUGCAGAAUAAGCACCGGCUAACUACGUGCCAGCAGCCGCGGUAAUACGUAGGGUGCAAGCGUUAAUCGGAAUUACUGGGCGUAAAGCGUGCGCAGGCGGUUCGGAAAGAAAGACGUGAAAUCCCAGAGCUUAACUUUGGAACUGCAUUUUUAACUACCGGGCUAGAGUGUGUCAGAGGGAGGUGGAAUUCCGCGUGUAGCAGUGAAAUGCGUAGAUAUGCGGAGGAACACCGAUGGCGAAGGCAGCCUCCUGGGAUAACACUGACGCUCAUGUACGAAAGCGUGGGGAGCAAACAGGAUUAGAUACCCUGGUAGUCCACGCCCUAAACGAUGUCAACUAGCUGUUGGGGCCUUCGGGCCUUGGUAGCGCAGCUAACGCGUGAAGUUGACCGCCUGGGGAGUACGGUCGCAAGAUUAAAACUCAAAUGAAUUGACGGGG
rnacentral:rRNA from 1 species